rnacentral:sRNA from 1 species
GCCGGGCUCAGUGGCGUGCGCCUGUAAUCCCAGCUUCUUGGGAGGCUGAGGUCGAUGGAUCAUGGGUGCCCGGGGGUUCAGGACUCUGGCGCUGUGUAGAGCGGGCAUCUGCCCUGGCACCAACAUGGGGCUCCCUGGGGUACCAGGUUGUCUAAGGAAGGGGGGACCCAGCCAGGCCGGACACAGAG